rnacentral:lncRNA from 1 species
GCAGUUGUUUGGGCUGUCGCUGUGGCUGGUUCUGCGGUGUGCGGCCAGCCAUGGAGCGCUCUGGGCCCAGCGAAGUGACAGGCUCAGACGCAUCGGGACCGGACCCGCAGCUUGUGGUCACCAUGGGCUUCACGGGGUUCGGGGUUCGGUAAAAAAGCUCACACAUUUGACUUGGAAGCAAUGUUUGAACAAACUCAAAGAACAGCUGUGGAAAGAAGUCACAAAACACUGGACCAGAUUACAGAGGGGUAUUGAUUUGCCUUGCCCCCGCCCCCACCAUCACAGUGUGUCCCUGUCCAGUGUUGGUGCUGUGUGGCAUUGCUUGUGUCCAUAGGAGUCCAUCAAGGCAGAGCGGCAGAGCGGCAAGCAGAGCGGCAAGGCAGGUCAGCUUCCGGCUCUUCCAGGCUGCAUGUCCCCCUCAAUAUCCUUUCAACCCAAUGGAAAUGGAUUGAAAGAGUGAAAGUCACUGGUCUCAAAGAAUCUACGGAAUUUAGCAUUUUGAAAAUCACAGAGCAAUUUUGGGUAGGUAUUCACAUGCACUAAAAAACCAGGCAAACAUCUGACUCCCAGGAUAAAGUGACUGAGAGCAGUAGAAGACUUGUUGAGCCUUAAGGAAUAAGAGGAAAAUUAUGUUAUGAAGUGCAGGAACAGCACAGACCCAGACGAGGGGAUGCAGCCCGGAGCCAGUAACCCGGCGCCUCCUCCUCCCCAGGGCGCAGCGCUGGCUGCUCCCCGGAUACCGUGAUCACACGUCCCAGGUCCUGAGAGCGCCUCAUAGGUAGACAGUUCUUUGGGACUUUUGGGACGCAGCACUUGAAGAGAGGUUUACCUAAACUUUCCUCCUGGGAGCCUGUCAUCAUUUGAAAGUAACAGAAGAAAGCUGUCAGGCUGAGGAAAGUUUCAACAGGCACUUGGUGAGAAUGGGAAGCAUCCAUUCAUUGGGAAAUCACGGGGACAGAGGAGGAAUUCACGGGAUCAGAGCACUGAGAAACUCCAGAGGCUUCUGGUUCACCGCCCUGAUUCCACAGAUGUGGGUCAGAGGCAGAGAUGGAAGUUGGAAUGGACAAGCCUGCCCUCUCCUCAGCUCUCCAUGGCUCUGUCCUCAGGCUGUUUCUGCAAUUUGACAUGAGGCCUGGCCCCAGGGAAACCAGUGGGGCCUCAUCUCCUCCCUGUGCUGCUCUGAGGUGGAGCCUUCUCAGGGUCAGUCCAGCUCUGGAGCCCCUCUCCAGCUCGGUCACCAAAGCUGUCUGGUCCCAGGGCAGUGUGGAGUGACAGGCACGCCAGCCAAUCCAAUCGGCCAUUUCAUACCCAAUGCAUGUGACUGAUAAAGAGAUAACACCCUGUCUCCAAGACACAGGCUUUACAUAAACAGCUUUAAUGACUUCUUCACUUAGGGACAAGACUCCUUAGUGGUGGAACCUCAGGCAUCCAUGCAGGAUGUAAGAAAGCUCCCGUAUAUACAUGAACUGAGAAGUGUGUAGAAGAGUAAAUACUGUAAUAGGUAAUAAAAUGUAUGUAUUUUUAUUUAUGUG